ensembl:snRNA U6 U6 spliceosomal RNA
GUGCUUGCUACGGCUGCACAUAUACUAAAAUUGGAUCGAUACAGAGAAGAUUAGCAUGGCCCCUGCGAAAGGAUGACACGCGAAUCCGUGAAGCGUUCCAUAUUUUG